rnacentral:rRNA from 1 species
GUUUUUAAGUUAUUAAGGGCGCACGGUGGAUGCCUUGGCACUAGAAGCCGAUGAAGGACGUUACUAACGACGAUAUGCUUUGGGGAGCUGUAAGUAAGCUUUGAUCCAGAGAUUUCCGAAUGGGGAAACCCAGCAUGAGUUAUGUCAUGUUAUCGAUAUGUGAAUACAUAGCAUAUCAGAAGGCACACCCGGAGAACUGAAACAUCUUAGUACCCGGAGGAAGAGAAAGAAAAUUCGAUUCCCUUAGUAGCGGCGAGCGAAACGGGAAGAGCCCAAACCAACAAGCUUGCUUGUUGGGGUUGUAGGACACUCUAUACGGAGUUACAAAGGACGACAUUAGACGAAUCAUCUGGAAAGAUGAAUCAAAGAAGGUAAUAAUCCUGUAGUCGAAAAUGUUGUCUCUCUUGAGUGGAUCCUGAGUACGACGGAGCACGUGAAAUUCCGUCGGAAUCUGGGAGGACCAUCUCCUAAGGCUAAAUACUCUCUAGUGACCGAUAGUGAACCAGUACCGUGAGGGAAAGGUGAAAAGCACCCCGGAAGGGGAGUGAAAUAGAACCUGAAACCGUGUGCUUACAAGUAGUCAGAGCCCGUUAAUGGGUGAUGGCGUGCCUUUUGUAGAAUGAACCGGCGAGUUACGAUUUGAUGCAAGGUUAAGCAGUAAAUGUGGAGCCGUAGCGAAAGCGAGUCUGAAUAGGGCGUUUAGUAUUUGGUCGUAGACCCGAAACCAGGUGAUCUACCCUUGGUCAGGUUGAAGUUCAGGUAACACUGAAUGGAGGACCGAACCGACUUACGUUGAAAAGUGAGCGGAUGAACUGAGGGUAGCGGAGAAAUUCCAAUCGAACCUGGAGAUAGCUGGUUCUCUCCGAAAUAGCUUUAGGGCUAGCCUCAAGUGAUGAUUAUUGGAGGUAGAGCACUGUUUGGACGAGGGGCCCCUCUCGGGUUACCGAAUUCAGACAAACUCCGAAUGCCAAUUAAUUUAACUUGGGAGUCAGAACAUGGGUGAUAAGGUCCGUGUUCGAAAGGGAAACAGCCCAGACCACCAGCUAAGGUCCCAAAAUAUAUGUUAAGUGGAAAAGGAUGUGGCGUUGCCCAGACAACUAGGAUGUUGGCUUAGAAGCAGCCAUCAUUUAAAGAGUGCGUAAUAGCUCACUAGUCGAGUGACACUGCGCCGAAAAUGUACCGGGGCUAAACAUAUUACCGAAGCUGUGGAUUGUCCUUUGGACAAUGGUAGGAGAGCGUUCUAAGGGCGUUGAAGCAUGAUCGUAAGGACAUGUGGAGCGCUUAGAAGUGAGAAUGCCGGUGUGAGUAGCGAAAGACGGGUGAGAAUCCCGUCCACCGAUUGACUAAGGUUUCCAGAGGAAGGCUCGUCCGCUCUGGGUUAGUCGGGUCCUAAGCUGAGGCCGACAGGCGUAGGCGAUGGAUAACAGGUUGAUAUUCCUGUACCACCUAUAAUCGUUUUAAUCGAUGGGGGGACGCAGUAGGAUAGGCGAAGCGUGCGAUUGGAUUGCACGUCUAAGCAGUAAGGCUGAGUAUUAGGCAAAUCCGGUACUCGUUAAGGCUGAGCUGUGAUGGGGAGAAGACAUUGUGUCUUCGAGUCGUUGAUUUCACACUGCCGAGAAAAGCCUCUAGAUAGAAAAUAGGUGCCCGUACCGCAAACCGACACAGGUAGUCAAGAUGAGAAUUCUAAGGUGAGCGAGCGAACUCUCGUUAAGGAACUCGGCAAAAUGACCCCGUAACUUCGGGAGAAGGGGUGCUCUUUAGGGUUAACGCCCAGAAGAGCCGCAGUGAAUAGGCCCAAGCGACUGUUUAUCAAAAACACAGGUCUCUGCUAAACCGUAAGGUGAUGUAUAGGGGCUGACGCCUGCCCGGUGCUGGAAGGUUAAGAGGAGUGGUUAGCUUCUGCGAAGCUACGAAUCGAAGCCCCAGUAAACGGCGGCCGUAACUAUAACGGUCCUAAGGUAGCGAAAUUCCUUGUCGGGUAAGUUCCGACCCGCACGAAAGGCGUAACGAUUUGGGCACUGUCUCAACGAGAGACUCGGUGAAAUCAUAGUACCUGUGAAGAUGCAGGUUACCCGCGACAGGACGGAAAGACCCCGUGGAGCUUUACUGUAGCCUGAUAUUGAAAUUCGGCACAGCUUGUACAGGAUAGGUAGGAGCCUUUGAAACGUGAGCGCUAGCUUACGUGGAGGCGCUGGUGGGAUACUACCCUAGCUGUGUUGGCUUUCUAACCCGCACCACAUAU